rnacentral:rRNA from 1 species
UACAGAGGGUGCGAGCGUUAAUCGGAUUUACUGGGCGUAAAGGGCGCGUAGGCGGACGAUUAAGUUAGGUGUGAAAUUCCUGGGCUUAACCUAGGGACUGCACUUGAUACUGAUGGUUCUGGAGUAGAGUAGAGGGAAGUGGAAUUUCCGGUGUAGCGGUGAAAUGCGUAGAUAUCGGAAAGAACACCAGUGGCGAAGGCGGCUUCCUGGACUCAUACUGACGCUGAGGCGCGAAAGCGUGGGGAGCAAACAGG